rnacentral:lncRNA from 1 species
AAGAAGAUAAUGCAAACAGCUAACUCAAUUUCAUUUUACAGCUUAAAGUCUGUGUUUACAGAAAAGUUCCUUCUGUUGCUUUUCCAUAGGCUCUUCAUUCCCGUCAGGUGAUGAACAGGGGAUGAACAGCUUAGGGACCUUAGGUUAUGGGCAUAAUAAAUGUUCAAAACACUUCAAAAUACAUGCAAAUGACAAAGCUUUACUCCUGAGUGAGACAACACCCUGUGGUAAACGCAUGUGAUCCUGAAGUUGAGGAUCAUGCCAUGUUGCUAUCCUUAUUUCACAAAAUUUUGGAAAGAUCAUUGCUGUUCUACCUCAUGGCUUAAAGGAAAGGGGGAGAAGCUCGCACAUGACCGCUCAGCUCUUAUAGUCCUUUAGGAAAGCUCCAACAUGGUGUUGGAGAGGAUGCAGCUAAGAGCAACUCAAAGAGUCAGGUGAAGAUGCCAAGAGGUAAAUGUCAGCAUUUUUGUUUCAUUUUCUAUCUUGUGAAUAUCCCUUGGUAAACUUCUGAGGAAAAAUGUCUGAGGAGACAUUUUGAGUGCCUUCUCUGAUUUUUGCAGUCCCUUGAGUGAAACCUUGGGGAACAAUUAUG